UGGCCACAUCCUCACUGUCCUUUCACUCCCCCUACUUGAAAAGACCUCAGGGACAUAAAAAAGCAGGCCAGAAGGAGGAGGCAGCACUGGAUGGAGAAAGGGAGUUAGAGAGAAGCCUGCCCCUGCCCACCGCCUAGUCCUGCGCAGCUCUCAAGCUGUUCCCCAGUGGAACUGUCUGGUCCAAUUGCUGGAGGCCUCUCAGGCAGCUUCGAGGGACUUGUGUGGGGCCAGGAAGUGAAAUAAGAAACGUGAGUUCCUGGAAAUAAGAGGCAGCCACAAGCUCAGCAUUGUGUGCAUGUGCAGGAACUCAACUUACUCUUAGACGACAAUCCUGAGCGGUGGGUAGAACAGCAAUGACGUCAACACUGCAGGUGAAUAAACUGAGGUUCCAGGAAGCACCAGGACUUCCUGAAGUCCCUGCAGGGUGCACGUGUGCAGGGCUAAGAAGCUGUGUGUACCCUUGCUGGGAGCCUUUGCUGACCCGGGGCCCGCAGCUCAUCACUCUUCCUGACAACCUAGGCCCAGGCCUCGGGACAGCCCAUGCAACUUUAGGCUGGUUCCAGGGAAAUCCUGAUCUCUCCUGUGCAGAGGGUAAAGUAUUUAUCUCAUUUGCCAGGAGCAGGAGGUCAUUGGCCCACAUGCCCCUUCCUGCCUCUAGAGUUUUCCUACUAACAAGAACUGACUGAAAAGCCAUUGUUUUUUGCUUUCUGUAGGAACUGCCAUUCUGUGUGAUGUCUGAUGUUGGAAGUGCAAUCAGAUAAUGGUAAAGAGGAAAGCAAGGUGAUUUGGGAAGGAAAGAGGCCAAAAGAAGCAUUUUAUGGAAAUCAGCAAAUCAUUUUUUAAACACAAAAUGAUUGUUCUUGUUUUUUAUUGUCUUUAUUAUAAUUACCUAUGCAUUUUUUGGGGGGGAUUCUUUAAGAUUUGCUUACUUAUUUGAAAGUCAGAGUGACAGAGAGAAAGGGAGAGAGAGAAGGAUGGAAGGAGGGAGAUUGAGACACAGAAAGAGACAGAGAGGGAGAGAUCAUCCAUCCACUGGUUCACUCCCCAAGUACCAGACAUGGGCCAGACCAAAGCCGGGAGCCAGGAACUCCCUCCAGGUCUUCCACAUGGGUGGCAGGAACCCAAGUCCUUGGGCCAUCAUCCACCGCCUCCCAGAUGCAAUAGCAGGAAGCUAGAUCAGAAGCAGAAUAGCUGAGACUUGAACCAGAACUCCAAUAUGGGAUGUGGCCAUCCCAAGCAGCAGCUUAACCCGCUGCAUCGCAACACCUGUCCCUGAGUGUGCCUUUGUAUUGCUCCCUCCGGUAACCUGUAAGGUUCUAGGGGUGAAAGUGUCUGUGCCUGUGUUUAUCUUCCACAGCACUUGAACUGCUGUCUAGCAAAUAAACAACUGACCCCAGAAGGAAGGAACUGGCCUUGCACCUCCCCAGAAAUAUCUUUUCCUCUGGCUGUCAGGUAUGUCUGACAUUCUUACCAUGAGAGUCUUCGUCAUUUGGAGGCUGCUCCUUUCAACCAGGCGAAUUGGGUCCUACCCACUGUCCCUAGAGUGCAGCAGGAUUCCAUGGGAAGAAGAAAACCCAGAGGAGAGCUGAAACGUGCGACUUGGUCAGUCCUCGGGGGAAGCCAAAUGGGACUAUGCCCCUGGGACCCAGAGACUGGCUUCAGCCCUUGUAGGGAGGGAGAAAACUCAGGACCCCUGAGAACUCAAACGUUGCCCACACCAUCAUUUUUCAGGGCCUGUUUGAUUUGGGUCUGGUUCCACACUGCAGCCUGGGCUGCAAGGUGGAGCACCACUAAGUGGUUCCUGUGUGAGUCAGCCAAUGACCUCAAUCUCGUUCCUUUGGUCUCCAUCAAAAUUGAGCUGAUCCGCUUUAGAUGUCUAAAAUUUAGCCCAAAAUGCUCCUCAGAGCAGGCAAUGCCCACCGCCUCAUGCGACUAGGAUAAGCCAAAGGGGCUACUGGUGUAUUUGUUUUACCUACUGUUUUCUUUUUAAGGUGCAUUUAUUUAUUUACUGGAAAGGCAGAGUGAGAAAGAGAGAGGUGGGAAUCUUCCAUCUGCUGGUUCGUUCCCCAAACGGCCACAACAGCUGGGGCUGGGCCCAGCUGAAACCAGGAGCUGGAAACUCCAUCCAGGUCUGCCAUGUGGUGGCAGGAACCCAAGUACUUGGACCAUCUGCUGCUGCCUUCUCAGGUACUUAACCCGAAGCUGCAUCAGAAGGGGAGAAGGCUCAGUCCCAGGCAUUCAGAUAUGGGAUGCAAGCAUCCCAAAUGGCAGCUUAACCCACUGUGCCACAAUGCCCACUUCUUGCUGUUUUGAUCAUUGGUUUACUUAGUCAUUCAUUUAUUAACAUAUUGAUACCCAUUUUGUUACAAAGUAGAUUUAGGUUUAAGGCCGGCGCCGCAGAUCACUAGGCCAAUCCUCUGCCUUGCGGCGCUGGCACACCAGGUUCUAGUCCCGGUCGGGGCGCCAGAUUCUGUCCCGGUUGCCCCUCUUCCAGGCCAGCUCUCUGCUGUGGCCAGGGAGUGCAGUGGAGGAUGGCCCAAGUGCUUGGGCCCCGCACCCCAUGGGAGACCAGGAGAAGCACCUGGCUCCUGGCUUCGGAUCAGCGCAGUGCGCCGCCCGCGGCGGCCAUUGGAGGGUGAACCAACGGCAAAAGAAGACCUUUCUCUCUGUCUCUCUCUCUCUCACUGUCCAUUCUGCCUGUCAAAAAAGAAAAAAAAAAAGUAGAUUUAGGUUUAAACCAAUUUAUCCAGAAGAUGACAGGUGUUUUUUUUUUCCUUGCAUGAGAGGAAAAGAGAGAGAGAGAGAGAGAAAGAGGACAUUUACUUCCCUUCUCCAACUACUGAUUCACUCCCCAAAUGCCCAGAAUUGCUGCAGCAAAAGCCAGGAGCCAACACACAAUCCAGGUCUCCCAUGUGGGUGGCAGGGACGAAAUGAUUUGAAUCAACGCUGCUGCCUCCUAGGGUCUGCAUUGGCAGGAAGCUGGAGCCAGGAGCCAGAGUUGGGAAUUGAACUCAAGAGCUCCAGUGUGAAACACAAGUGUCUUAAUAGGUCUCAGUCAGGGCUAGACAGCUACUCGACAGAAGACGCAUUUUUAAUUUAACCCAUUUCUACUAUCAAUGUUAUUCAAUAAUUUUAAAAAUUUCUAAAUACCUAAUAUAAAUAUUCUAAUAUAAACAGUGGGAUAUCAUUAGUGAAAACACAAAGAUGCCCCUACCUCAUGUACCUUAUAUAAGCAGUGGGUGAGCCAAGAGAUAAUUACAACAUAAUUGACUGUCAGUUGCCUUAUAAUUGAUCAUGGCUAACACUCUACUAUCAACCAUUCCCCAAACACUGCAAAUUGAGUUGUCCCAGCUGUUUGUAUUUUGUGUAUUCUAAUGAUAGCCCACUGAUUGCUAUACCCCUCUCCAACAACCAAGAAUUGCCCCGAGGUUGAGGCUGGUGCUGUAGUGGCCCUCCAGGCACCACCCCAGUCUUUGUUACCCUUGGGACAGAGCUCUCACCUUAUAAAUGAAAAUACUUAAACACACACACACACAUACACACACACACACACACAGGAGAAGGAGUAUCAAGGUAGAGUUGAAACCCUGCAAUCUUCCAGCUACAAGUGAAGUUGGAGCCCCUCCCAGCCAAUCUCUGCGUCUCACAGAUGAGCAAGGGGAGGCUGUAGCCCUGUAGAGGAGUGGCAACCCACCCCCGGAAACACAUCCUCCACCUCCACUCAGACUGAGCCUGGCGGCCGGCAUCUGGACCCUGAGCUUUCGACUUCUUCUGAAUGUGUCUAAAUUUGUCCUCUCCUCUUCUCAAGAUGUCCAUCUGGAGAUCAAUCCAGAGAAAGGUAAUUGGCUGCACUGUGGUUGGUCACAGAGUUAGUGCCCGCGUUGUAAGUGGCAUCGUGGGACCCACGCUUCCCAACACCCGGUUUCACAGUAAAUAACACUUACUUUAUCCCGCAGCACAGAGCUCUGUGCUAGUUAAGGAAGCCGAUGACUUAGGAGGAAGCCCUGGCACGUCAGCUGUUACUGUUAGUGCUGCUUAGCUCCAAGUGAAGAAAGCUCUCCGGUCCGGGCUGAGGGCCAGUCUACUCUUCAGUACAACAGCAUGACCUACCCCAGCGGGUUUUGAGAUGUGGCUGCUUGGUUGGCAAUAUCAGCAUCACCAGGGGCUGAUUCCCAACUUCAACCCACGCCAACUGGACUGGAAACUCUGGGAAUGGAGCCUACAGCCUUUGCUUGAAGGAGGCUUUCAGCAGGGGUGGGUGGGUUUCUUUUGUUGUUGUUGUUUUGUUUUCAUUUAUUUGAAAGGGAGAGAGAAGGACUAUUCUCAUUCACUGAUUCACUUUCCAAAUGCCUACAACAGUCAGGACUGGGCCAGGCUCAAGCCAGAAGCCUGGAACUCAGUUUAGGUCUCCUGUGUUGGUGUCAGAGACCCAACUACUUGAGCACUCCUUCUUCUCCUUCUCCUCCCCCUCCCCCUCCCCCUUCUCCUUCUUUUUGACAGGCAGAGUUAGACAGUGAGAGACAGUGAGCAAGAUCUUCCUUCCGCUGGUUCACACAGCAAAUGGCUGCUAUGGCCAGCGUGCUGCAUUGAUCCAAAGCCAGGAGCCAGGCGCUUCCUCCUGGUCUCCCAUGUGGGUGCAGGGCCCAAGCACUUGGGCCAUCCUCCACUACCUUCCCGGGCCACAGCAGAGAGCUGGACUGGAAGAGGAGCAGCCGGAAGGCAUCACUUCUUCCUCCCAAGAAAAACAUUAGCAAAAAGCUGGAACUAGGAGCAGAGCCAGAAUUCAGACCCAGGUACUCUGACAUGGGAUAUGGAUGUCUGAAGCCAUGUCUUAACCACUGGGCCAAAUGCCGGCUCCCCUUUGGGCUGAUUCUGGUACUUGCUCAAGUUUGAAUGCAUCUGCUCUGGAGCAAUGCUUUGAAAAUUUCAGUCCUGGGGCCCCCAGCCUCAGGGUGUCCAGCAGGAGCUUCUAAAAUAGGUGAGUUGAAAAAAAAUUCAGAAAACCAGCUAUUUACCCCUUCAAGUCCAGUAUUUCCCAAACAAACCUCAUCUGAAGCAUUACUGGGGACCUCUUAGAAAGACCAAUGUCACAGCCCUUCUUCCUGGGCAUUCAGAAUAAGAGCAGAAGAGAAGAGUUGAAAAGGCCAGGCUCAGGGUCUAUGCAUGUCCCUCCCUCCUUGGGGACAGGGCCACUCAUCAGAAUUCACUUGGGAACUGUGGCUCUGGGGCUCCCUAAACCACUGGUUUACUUAUGACAUCCACCUCAGUCCAACAGCGUCAGUAUCGAAGAGGAUCCCAUUUGCUGGCUACUCAGUGCAUAAAUAUUAUUCAAAACCUAUUGCUUUUUUAUUAUUUAUUUUUUUAAAAGGUCUUCCUUCCGUUGGUUCACCCCCAAAAUGGCCACUACAGCCGGAGCUAUGCCAAGCCAAAGCCAGGAGCCAGGUGCUUCCUUCUGGUCUGCCAAGUGGGUGUAGGCGCCCAAGCACUUGGGCCAUCCUCCACUGCAUUCCCAGGCCACAGCAGAGAGUUGGACUGGAAGAGGAGCAACCAGGACUAGAACCCGGCACCCAUAUGGGAUGCCGGUGCUGCAGGCGGAGGAUUAACCAAGUGAGCCAUAGUGCCAGCCCCAAAACCUAUUGCUUUUUAAGGCUGAGAGCGCACAAAAUGUUUCUGUGAUUUCUGAGCGUCAAUUACAGAUGAGCCAGGCAAAAAGCAACCCAUGGAAAUCUCUGGGAACAGAGAGGUCCAUUAAGAUGGAGAAAAGAUUGCCAAGAAACCAGGGAAGAGGCUAGAGAAGGAAGAGGAGAGAAGGACACGAAGGGAGAAGAGGGACCAGAGAAGCUGAGAUUUCUUGGGAAACCGUGAACGACUCUGAGCCAUUGGAGCCCCAGAAAGGAGCCUGGCUUGGUGGUUAGACACAUGGACCCUUGAGACUGCCCGGUUUAAGUGCCAUUUCUGUCCCUUCCUGGCAGGUGGCUGACAUGACCUUUCCAAGCCUCACUCUCCCUACAAUCUACAGAUGACAGGCCCUCCUGGCAGCACUGUCGUGAGGAAGUGGGCAUACCCCAGGCUUCCCCAGCUGGCGCGGCCCAGAGGGCAAGAAGCGCUCAGUGAAACUGCUAUGAUGCUAAGCACUCUCUUCUUGGCAGAAUCUUGCCCAGGUUUUCUCUCAUUUCUCACCUCUCAGUGCCCUAGUAGACCUUCCUGUGAGGAUGAGUGCUGUUUCUGAUCUACUUUAAAAUCAGACCACAUAUCCAUAAGAGACGUUCCCACGCGUCUUCUCAGCCCGCAAAUGAAUGAGAGGUAGAUGAGGCUAUGAGCCUGUUCCUGAGAUGGCAGGGCCCAGGUCUCAUGGGCACCAUGGGUGACCAUGCUUCCAGAUUCGGCAAGACUUAAUCCCAGGUGCACCUUCCGCUUGCAGCAAGGCCAAACAAGUGCCUCCCAAGGCUUCCCCUUGCUCUCCCUAAGGCUGGGUGCCUCCUCCGCACCUCAACUCACUACUCCAGGCAAAACAAGACACGUUGAUUAUAAAAGAGACAAGAUUGCCUAGAAUUUUAUUUUCUCUUGGAGAAAAGAGGUAGGCCAGCACUCAGAGCUGGACCAAGCAAUGGACUAUUAAGAGUGAUUCUCGAACUUGAGUAUGCCUCACAACUGCCGAGGGCUUAGAGUAAGCUAGAGUAGCACACAGUACGAGCCCCACUCCAGAGUUGCUGCUGCAACAGGUCUGAGGCUUGAAUUGGCCUUUCCACCAAGUCCCCGUGUUGCUGGUUCCAGGCCCAGGCUUUGAAGCCCUCUACUCUAUACUUUUGAGAAAGAAACUAUGGCUUGGAGCGGGUGUGUAGUGUAGCGCUUGGGACACCCACAUUCACACCAGAGGGCCUGGGUCCAAUGCUCAGCUCCGAUUCCCGACUCCAGCUUCCUGUCAGCACACACACUGGGAGACGGUGGUGAUGGCUCAAAUAAUUGCGUUCCUGCCACCCACAUGGGAGACCCGGAUUAAGUUCCCAGCUCCCAGCUGUGCUGCCAGCUCUGGCCGUUCAGGGAGUGAACCAGCAGAUGUGAGCGAGCUCUCCCUGUCUCUCUGUAUCUCCCCCCUCAUCUUCUAAAAUAAAUAAAAGCAAUUAAUAAACUAUGACUUAUCAGAAGUUGUACAUCACAGAAACAUUAGAUUGAAAGAUACUCUUCACGACUAAUUGCAAUGGGAGGUAAAAGGAACCUUCAUAUGUCACUACAUAGGUAUCAUCAUAUCAUCUUGGUUAUGUCAUUCUUGAUUAUAGUAUUGGUCCCAACCACUGACCUCAGUUUAUUGUUCUUAAGCGUGAUGAUCAUCUCCUAAUUUUUGUUUUUUAUUUAUUCAGUGAUAUCCAGUGUAAUAUGAGAGCACUUGGAAAACCCAAUGGCCCAAAACAAUCUCCCCUUUUAUGAGCCAUUUCCAACAUCAAAAUAAAAAAGUCAGGGACCGGGAUUGUGGAGCAGUGGGUUAAAGCAUCACCUGCAACCCAUGUGAGUGUCAGUUCAUGUCCCGGCUGCUCCACUUUCAAUCCUGCUCCCUGCUAAUGUGCCUGAGAAAGGAGCAGCAUAUGGCUGCAUGGGUCCCUGCCGUCCACAAGAGAGACCCACUUAAAGCCCUUGAUUCCUGGCUUCAUCCUGGCCCAGCUCUGGCCAUCAGAGCCAUUUGAAUAGUGAACCAGUAGAUGGAAGAACUCUUUCUCUGUCUCUCCCUCUCUCUGUGUAACUCUGCCUUUCAAAUCAGUAAAAUAAAUAUUUAAAAAAGAAUCACAAAGUCAGAGAUGGUAUGUCUAGAUCUCUUUGGAAACCCAACAGAAAACCUGGAGUACCUUCUGGUCUCUUUUCAUUUGGCUUGAAAACAUUAGUAAAUUAGUUUGCUAUCACUUGGCUGCUGAGAUAGUGAGACACAAAGAACUAUAGGUAGGACCUUGGCUAAAAUCUUCCCCAGCAAUAAAUGAGAUAAGGAAGCAUCCUGAAGAUUUGGACCUGAGGAUGGCUGCCCAAGGACAAAACAGGGAGAGAAAUCUGAAAAGGUUGUGGGAAGUCCCAGUGCCUGCUUUGGUGUGCUGCCAUCUUGGUUAUCAAAUGGAUUACAAGAUGCAAAAGAGAGCAUUAAAGGUGAGAACAAAACAGUUCCUGACGGUUCCAAAGGGAAAUCAGCAGAGACACUGAUGACUUGGCUCCUGACCAGCCACGGGUGCCCUGCUUACCUCACAGUGCCGCGGCUCUCCCUUAUGCACUGGCCCAGUUCCCGUGCUGAGCCCAGGAAGGCGUGGUUUCCGGGUAGGUCACUCCGCAAGGAGGCUGGGUCACUUAUUUCGGGGAGGACGUGGUGCAGGUCCAUGGAGGAAGGAGACAGCUCAGCCUCGGACAGAAAGACAUCCUCUGCACGUGAGAUGGCGCCUGCCGACUCCCCUGGGGACUGGUGGCAGGGGAGCGAGGCCCAGAUCGCAGUGGCCUCUGCCCGUCCUCUGCAGGCAACGCAGCCUCCUUGGGCCUAAAAGCCAGUUCUUGAUAGAGGAGCCUCACCUGGGAACAGGUGUGUUUUCAUUGUGCGGACUCAAAGGAGGCCUCUAGGUGGACUUAGUACCUCAAUGGACAGCGAGGCCAACAAGGGGCCUAAUUAUGGUCUUCAAAAGCAGAAUGGACAAGGUUAGGGGGCCUAAAUCCCACACAGCUGAUGGCUACACCUAUAGAGGCUUGGGGGCCUCGGUCUACUUCACCACCGGGAGGAAUGAGGCUGUGGCGGCCACAGGAAGGCUGGCAGGUCAGACACGCCCCCUUUCCCGUGAUGCCCUCCGGACCCGUAUAAAAGCCACCGUGAGAACCCGGAAGCGGAGGGUGUGCCCCCGGAACAGCUGCUCAGCAGGCUCCCUUCCCAGCCGGCAGUUUGCCCUGCGCGGGCCCUGCGAGGCAGGGAGCGCAGGACAGCGGCAACUGAAGAUGGCGUCACCGCCAAGCGGGAGCCCGCAGCUUGGCUCGGCGCAGUGCCAGAUGCCCUGCGGCCUGCCUUGCCUAUCCAGUGCUGCAGACACCCUCAGAGCCUCCCAGUGGCCUCUGGUCACAACACUGUCCUUGCUUGCAUGCGCCUGUUUUCUCCCUGUUGGUCCAAAUCCGGUUUGUCUUUUAAGAAUUAACUGGAAGUCACCUCCUCCCUGAAGCCUCCCAGCUUGCCCAGGCUGGAGAGAUCUGGACCUGCUGUGAAUCCUUUGUCUUCCCUCUCUGCUCCACUCAUUAGGCUCUUUCCAUGACCUCUACUCCCUUCAAGGGUCUGCAUUAACAGAAGGCUGAAGUCAGGAGUCGAAUCCAGGUGCUCUGAUGUGGGACACGGCGGGUCUUCACGGGCAUCAUAACUCAGGAAAAGAGGCGCAGAAUAGAGAAGAAACAGUGUGCAAAUCUACAGCCAGGCCGAAUUGAUUCAGAGAAAAUACAUUUGCGGAAGUGGUGACCACCUGCCCGCGUGCAUGUGAUGGAACACGUGGCAGAAGGCCCGACCCCCAGGGGCUGGGCCUUUUUAUA